CGUACACUCCUGCGGGAGGCAGCAGUGGGGAAUAUUGGACAAUGGGCGCAAGCCUGAUCCAGCCAUGCCGCGUGAGUGAUGAAGGCCCUAGGGUUGUAAAGCUCUUUCACCGGUGAAGAUAAUGACGGUAACCGGAGAAGAAGCCCCGGCUAACUUCGUGCCAGCAGCCGCGGUAAUACGAAGGGGGCUAGCGUUGUUCGGAUUUACUGGGCGUAAAGCGCACGUAGGCGGACUAUUAAGUCAGGGGUGAAAUCCCGGGGCUCAACCCCGGAACUGCCUUUGAUACUGGUAGUCUUGAGUUCGAGAGAGGUGAGUGGAAUUCCGAGUGGAGAGGUGAAAUUCGUAGAUAUUCGGAGGAACACCAGUGGCGAAGGCGGCUCACUGGCUCGAUACUGACGCUGAGGUGCGAAAGCGUGGGGAGCAAACAGGAUUAGAUACCCGGGUAGUCCC
rnacentral:rRNA from 1 species